CGGCGAGUGAAGCGGCAAAAGCUCAAAUUUGAAAUCUGGCUCCUUUAGGGGUCCGAGUUGUAAUUUGCAGAGGAUGCUUCGGGAGCGGCCACGGCUUAAGUGCCUUGGAACAGGACGUCAUAGAGGGUGAGAAUCCCGUCUUGAGUCGUUGGUCCGCGCCCAUGUGAAGCUCCUUCGACGAGUCGAGUUGUUUGGGAAUGCAGCUCUAAGCGGGUGGUAAAUUUCAUCUAAAGCUAAAUAUUGGCCGGAGACCGAUAGCGCACAAGUAGAGUGAUCGAAAGGUUAAAAGCACCUUGAAAAGGGAGUUAAACAGCACGUGAAAUUGUUGAAAGGGAAGCGCUUGCGGCCAGACUCGGGUACAGGGUUCAGCGGGUGCGUGUCACCCGUGUACUCCCUGUUUCUCGGGCCAGCAUCAGUUCUGACGGCCGGUCAAAGGCCUCUGGAAUGUGUCGUCUUUCGGGACGUCUUAUAGCCA
rnacentral:rRNA from 1 species